rnacentral:rRNA from 1 species
GACGAACGCUGGCGGCGUGCCUAAUACAUGCAAGUCGAGCGGGCCUCCGGAGGUGCUUGCACCUCCGGACGGCCAGCGGCGGACGGGUGAGUAACACGUGGGCAACCUGCCUUUGAGGCCGGGAUAACACCGGGAAACCGGUGCUAAUACCGGAUACGUCCUCUUUCGCGCCUGCGAGAGGGGAGAAAGACGGUCUUUAAGGCCGUCGCUCAAAGAGGGGCCCGCGGCGCAUUAGCUGGUUGGUGGGGCAAGGGCCUACCAAGGCGACGAUGCGUUGCCGACCUGAGAGGGUGAUCGGCCACACUGGGACUGAGACACGGCCGAGACUCCUGCGGGAGGCAGCAGUAGGGAAUCAUCCGCAAUGGGCGAAAGCCUGACGGUGCAACGCCGCGUGAGUGAGGAAGGUUUUCGGAUCGUAAAGCUCUGUUGUGAGGGAAGAACAGCAUCCGGAGGAAAUGCCGGAGGUUUGCCGGUACCUCACCAGAAAGCCCCGGCUAACUACGUGCCAGCCGCCGCGGUAAUAC